GGGAGGGGUGCAAGCGUUGUUCGGAAUUAGUUGGGCGUAAAGAGCGUGUAGGCGGGUUCGGUAAGUCAGAUGUGAAAGCCCUGGGCUCAACCCAGGAAGUGCAUUUGAAACUACCCAGACUUGAGUACGGGAGAGGACGGGGGGAAUUCCCGGUGUAGAGGUGAAAUUCGUAGAUAUCGGGAGGAAUACCAGUGGCGAAGGCGACCCCUCUGGACCGAUACUGACGCUGAGACGCGAAAGCGUGGGGAGCAAACAGGAUUAGAUACCCUGGUAGUCCACGCCGUAAACGAUGAGCACUAGGUGUAGCGGGUAUUGACCCCUGCUGUGCCGUAGCUAACGCAUUAAGUGCUCCGCCUGGGGACUACGGUCGCAAGACUA
rnacentral:rRNA from 1 species